AGGGAUAUAUUUCAAUGGUAUAGCAUCUGCUUUGCGUGCAGAAGGUCCCUGGUUCAAUCCCUGGCAUCUCUG